rnacentral:rRNA from 1 species
UACUAAGCGGAGGAAAAGAAACCAACGGGGAUUCCCAUAGUAACUGCGAGUGAAAGGGGAACAGCCCAGCGCCGAAUCCUGUUGCUGGUAACGGUGACAGGAACUGUGGCGUGAAGAAGGUGGUUACCGGUGUGGCUUGUUUGCGUAAGUUCUCCUGAGUGAGGCUCCAUCCCAUGGAGGGUGCAAGGCCCGUAUCGUGAACAGUUGAUGCCGGUGUACAUCUUCGGAGAGUCGCCUUGUUUGUGAGUACAAGGUGAAGUCGGUGGUAAACUCCAUCGAAGGCUAAAUAUGACCACGAGUCCGAUAGCGAACAAGUACCGUGAGGGAAAAUUGAAAAGCACUUUGAAGAGAGAGCGAAACAGUGCGUGAAACCGCUCAGAGGCAAGCAGAUGGGGCCUCGAAGGCAAAGCAGUGAAUUCAGCCGGUGUGGUGCGUGGCUGGUCGGUGUUGGGAUCGCAAGACCCUAGCUGAUUACGCUCGCGUGCUGGCCGGUGCAUUUUCGCUGUUUGUACGUCACCGCCGUUGAGCGAGCAUCCGUCGGGUAUGCGUGUGAAGCCUUAUUCCUUCGGGCGUAGGUGCUUACUGCUAACUUGUACGCGUUUGCGCCUCAACUGGUCAUGUCAGCGUGUGCCAGCGUUAGCGUUGGGCCGGUAUGCUCUGCGGUGUGUUGUGGGAUGACGAGCUUGCUCGGCUCCUCGGCACGCAGUGGACUCGUUGCCGGUUUUCAACGUAGGCACAUUGUAGAUUCGGUGGCGAGUAGACGGCUGCCCAUCUAACCC